CUGGGAAGGGCUUAUGUGAAAGUUUUGAACUGGGCCUUGAAGUUUAGGUAGGUUGCAAAGCCAGUGUCCACCCUGUUCCUUUGGCCAAUUCUGGCUAACUCUAACCACCUUUGCAGGUCAGCCUAAAGGUCACUUCCUCUUGCACAUCUUCUCUGAUGCAAUCCCCCAACAUACUCCCAAUGUCCUUUUCCUAUUAUCACAUCUUUUAAUUGCCUGCCUUGCUAUACACUCUAAGCCCCAUAGUAAAAGGAACUCCUUUACUCAGCAUUACAUCUUCAUGGUUUAGUACAGUACCUGACACAAGGAAUUCAAUCAAUCAAUAAUGAAUGAAUGAAUGAUAGAAAAGUGGGGAGCAAAAGAGGAAAUACCUAAACUGCUCUAAAAUCAAGUCUCAAAAAUUAAAAAAAAUUGGAAACAGCAAUGACGGUGUGGAGAAACACCAAAAGACAUAAAAGAAAGGAAAAUCAGGGAGUGAACUCCUCCUGUUCCCAGUCCGUGGCCUUUGAGUGAGCUCCCAUCCCUGGCUCCUAGGACGGGACAGCUAACACAGAGCUCCGAGUCAAGCAGACACAGUGGGUGCCAUCCUGACACCUCAAGGGAACAGCACAUCUGGGAAAAGUGUCUAAUAGAGAAGAGGAGUCAAGAGAAGAAGGGGGAGAAUCACAGCCCUGAGGACACCAUCUAUGUUCUGGAAUUCUACCAUGCUUAAAGAGGAGGAAGCUAAGGCACAGAGAAGUUAAUGUGCUCAAGACUAUACCACUGGAAACCACACAUUCAAAAUAAUGCUAACCUGUCAAGUUAUUGAUCUGCACUGUACAUAUUUCCUGGUCAUAGGCAGCUUCCACACAAGAACAUCUGGAUGCAAAUUAAAGAAUUCAAUUACUCAAGCCUAAGUGAUAGAGGAGACCUCGGCUACUCUGCCUGAGCACAUCACUGCUGGAUCUCAAAAUCUGCAAGAACUUCCUAGGGCUUCAGGAACUUUCAUGUGCAUACCAGUCACCUGGGAAUCUUGUUACGAUGCAUAUUCUUUUUCAGUAAGCCCAAAUUCUGCAAUUCUUAUAAGGUCUUAGGGGACAUGAUGUUUGCUUCUAGUGGUCCAUGGUCUACUCCUGAAGGUCCACCAUGCCCAGCUUCAUCUCCCCACCCUCUGGAAACUCUCCUGUACCCAAGCCACUUGCUCUCUUCUAAAUAGGCAUUGUGUUCCCAUGUUCCCAUGUGUCUGCCUCUUUCAACUUCUCCUCUAAAAAUUCUCCAUGACCCCCAAGCAUAAGCCUCCAGCAGCAAGCUCAAAAAUGCUUUCUACUCUGUUGUGUUGCCCGGCCCACUUCAAGAGUAGAUGCUCAAUUCCUUCUUCCCCUAGUCGUAUUUGCUGCUACUUUUGCAGGCUGCUGGAACACUUUCACUCUGAGGAUUCUGAUGAACACAGUUCUUGCCCUCUUCACUUUUCCAAUCUGGUUGCAGGCACAGCGGGGGACAGCAGGAGUGCAACACAGUAACUUAAUAUAAUAUGGAGCUGCUAUUAUGGAGGGAAACAUUCACUGCUCUGAAAGGACUCAACAGCUGAGUCUUAAAGAAGGAUUUUACAAGAUUGACAAAGAAAUGGGUUAUCUCCAGAUAGGAAGGAAAAAUCACAAGGAAUAGUACAGCAAGGAAAGAGGAAACAGCACUGGACUUGGGGAAAAGGGAAAUCCUUGAGAUGUUGCUAAGGCAUAAAGAGCAAGACAGAGAGUGUCAGAAGAUGACACUGACGUCACCUGACUCCUGCUGCUGAGCUUCUCUGACAUUUUCUCAAGGGCUCAAGGCUUGGAUACCCUCUGAUAUGGUUUAUCUGUGUCCCCGCCCAAAUCUCACCUUGGUUUGUAAUCAUCUCCAUGUGUCAAGAAUGGGACCAGGUGGAGAUAAUUGAAUCAUGGGGGCAGUUUCCCACAUACUGUUCACAUGGUAGUAAAUAAGUCUCAUGAGCUCUGAUGGUUUUAUAAAUGGGAGUUCCCCUGCACAGGCUCUUUUUGCCUGCCACCAUGGAAGACACCCCUUUGCCCUUCCUUUAUUUUCUGCCACAAUUGUGAGGCCUCCCUAGCUAUGUGGAAUUGUGAGUGCAUUAAACCUCUUUCCUUUACAAAAUUACCCAGUCUUGGGCAUGUCUUUAUUAGCAGCAUGAGGACAGACUAAUACACCCUCUUUCAAUACCUAAAAUAGACAAAGCCCUAUUUGGAAUUUUGGAAAAACACAAUCUAGUCUCCGAAGGUAGGCACAGAAGCUCUGAGCUGACACAAUAUUGAAGUCGUUACUUGCCUGGUCCUUAGGCAUUUCCUAGUCCACAAUCACACAUCCA
rnacentral:lncRNA from 10 species